CUGGCGGUGAGCUGUUACAAGACUACUACCAGGGAGACAACACUCAGGUUUACCAACAAUAACUAUUACAUCUAACACCGGUGAUAGGUGUUAGUUUCAGCAGGUGUUAGACUGAGCAGGUGUUAAGAUCAGCAGGUGUUAGACUCAUCAGAUGUUAAGAUCAGCAGGUGUUAAACUGAACAGGUGUAAGAUUCAGCAGGUGUAACACUCAUCAGGUGUUAAUUAAGAUCAUUAAACACCAAGGCAACAUGAUGUAUUAAAGAUAUUCAGUCAUAAGUAAUGUACAGUGACGAAUGUUUACUCACCAGGUCACGAAGGAGCCAAAUGUUUAUAAUGUUCAUAUCAUUAAGUCACCAAGAGUGUUUACGAGUCACCAAUGUGCUGGUGCUACACUUACUGCCCUGUGUAGCACCAAUCAGGACACCCAAAGCUUAUACCAUAACACUCAAGCACCACCGAUAUGUUAUCUUGGUGUGUGUGUGUGUGUGUGUGUGUGUGUGUGUGUGUGUGUGUGUGUGUGUGUGCGGAAGCUUCAGUCACAAACUGCUUUCGCGGGAGAAGUGUAGAGUUCCCAACUUCCCUCGUCUGGCCGUCAAUAUUGGGGGUUCUGGCUGAUGGACGGCGACCCUUCAGGUGAUGGGCGGUCUGUGUGAUAGUUGGUGUCCUCAGUAAGUAUGGUGUUACAAGCAGAGAUAACGACCCGCCUUACUGCUACCAUAUCACGUGUGUGUGUGUGUGUGUGUGUGUGUGUGGCUCAGGUCUCUCACAACCUGAACCUGUCUCGCAGUCUGUUGUUUCCUGAUACUGUGAUCUGUGGCACUGUGACCUGUGGCACUGUGACCUGUGGCCCUGUGACCUGUGGUACUGUGACCUGUGACCUGUGGCAGUGACCUGUGGCCCUGUGACCUGUGGCACUGUGACCUCUGGCACUGUGACCUGUGGCCCUGUGACCUGUGGUACUGUGACCCAGAAGUGUGUGUGUGUGUGUGACCCGGGUUACCAGGCAGCGUGUUAUAGCUCGGCUCUGUGUCCUGUCACGUUAGGUACAGUAGUGUAAAGAGUAUCUGUACAUAGAUAAACAUCACUUCUAAGUCUCUUCUAUGUUCUUGUUCAUAAGCAUCAAUUAUAUGAAGUAAAACUA